CCUACGGGAGGCAGCAGUGGGGAAUUUUGCGCAAUGGGGGCAACCCUGACGCAGCAACGCCGCGUGAGUGAUGAAGGCCUUCGGGUCGUAAAGCUCUGUCAGAGGGGAAGAAAUGCAGGUGGUGAACAACCAUUCUGUUUGACGGUACCCUCAAAGGAAGCACCGGCUAACUCCGUGCCAGCAGCCGCGGUAAUACGGAGGGUGCGAGCGUUGUUCGGAAUUAUUGGGCGUAAAGCGCGUGUAGGCGGUUUGUUAAGUCGGAGGGAAAGGCCCCGGGCCCAACCGGGGAAGUGCAUUGGAUACUGGCAGACUUGAGUACGGGAGAGGAGAGUGAAAUUCCCGGUGUAGGAGUGAAAUCCGGAGAUAUUGGGAGGAACACCGGUGGCGAGGGCGGCUCUCUGAACCGAUACUGACGCGGAGACGCGAAAGCGGGGGGAGCAAACAGGAUUAGAUCCCCUAGUAGU
rnacentral:rRNA from 1 species